rnacentral:lncRNA from 1 species
AGUGCAUGGAUCAUGAACCUCCCAUGUAUACUGUUCAUUCCACCUAGGCGACAGUGUAUCAAGCAGAGUUCUUGUCCUAACCCAUUUGUUACCGUACUUGGCCACACAGUAUGCAUCAGUAGUCCUACCAUCUUUGCCUUUCAUAGGUAGCAAAUUCCGGGCACUAAGUAUCCCGAGUUCGAGAAUUCCAAUGUUUUUCCUCCUUAAGUGUUUGGACGACGGUUGAAGAUCGCUGCUGAAAUGUGUCGAUUCAUCAAGAACAUGAUACCCUGCUUCCAGACAAAUCCGGAGGUGAAUCUUGCUCGAGAAUUUCUCCUUCUUUCUCUCCGUCUCCUCUUCACCGACCUCACUAGGCCUAUGAAGAUUGAACCAACGUGCAUCCGGGAGCUUACCCGUCUCUUGUCUUUGCGGAACAUUUCUCACCGACAUGACCUCUCUUCCCAAGAUUUCAACAUUGUUAGGACCAAAUUUGUCCUCAACUGUCACAAUUAUAAAAUCCUCAAAAGGUUCACAACUUAGUAUAGCUUGAGCUCUUUCUCCUUGAGUAGCUAAAUCUCCAACCACAGUCUGUACUCUACCUGCAACACUUCUCAAUCUGUCAUACCUCAUUCUCACAAUAUCCGAAGGUCUUGAAGUUGGAAAAGUGUCAAAUUCCUCAUCCAAUUCAUCUGGAUGCACAGCUUCUGCUUGCGAAAGUCUAGCAUCCAUGUGUGGUGGAUUCCUUGGCCGGAACCGGUAAUUCCAAAUCCCGAUUACAAACAAAUAAAGAAAACUGGUUGGCAAUAUCAAUUCAGGGUAGAAAAUAAGUAUCAAGAACAAGACAUGAACAAGGCAAGUUGUGAUUGGGUUUCUCCAAGUGCAAAUAUCAUCAAGCCAUUUACACACAGCUGAAAAACCCGAGAGUAGCGACAUUAUGCGGUGAAAAUUGGCUUUGCUUCUCCUUAGACUCCACAUAUGGUAAUCUACAUCAAGCAUGUAUUCAACUGAUUCGCGUCGAAGCGGCGGCUCAGCUCUUGCUAGCCUUGCUGCCACGAUCUGCAUGGCCUGAUAACGGAGCCAAUCAAUGUGGCGAACAGGUAUUGGUUGAACAUAAUGCAUUUUGGGAAGCAAAGGUCUUCCAUAUUGAGCUACCAUAUUAACCCAAGCUGUGCAAGUGAACCUCACAGCCAAGUGAAGCUCUCCAUUCUUCUUUAGGCCAUUGGUUUGGAGAACCAAUAGAGGAUAAUAAUGAGUAUAUACUCUAUCAGUUUCGAGUGUUGAUAACCUUAUUCUCACCUUUCCAAUUCUCUGAUCUUUGUUGUCACUGCUCCCAUUGAGGUGGUGAUUGUCGAAAACACUAACCGUGAUCACAGUGCAUGGAUCAUGAACCUCCCAUGUAUACUGUUCAUUCCACCUAGGCGACAGUGUAUCAAGCAGAGUUCUUGUCCUAACCCAUUUGUUACCGUACUUGGCCACACAGUAUGCAUCAGUAGUCCUACCAUCUUUGCCUUUCAUAGGUAGCAAAUUCCGGGCACUAAGUAUCCCGAGUUCGAGAAUUCCAAUGUUUUUCCUCCUUAAGUGUUUGGACGACGGUUGAAGAUCGCUGCUGAAAUGUGUCGAUUCAUCAAGAACAUGAUACCCUGCUUCCAGACAAAUCCGGAGGUGAAUCUUGCUCGAGAAUUUCUCCUUCUUUCUCUCCGUCUCCUCUUCACCGACCUCACUAGGCCUAUGAAGAUUGAACCAACGUGCAUCCGGGAGCUUACCCGUCUCUUGUCUUUGCGGAACAUUUCUCACCGACAUGACCUCUCUUCC